GAUGAACGCUGGCGGCGUGCCUAAUACAUGCAAGUCGAGCGAACAGAUAAGGAGCUUGCUCCUUUGACGUUAGCGGCGGACGGGUGAGUAACACGUGGAUAACCUACCUAUAAGACUGGGAUAACUUCGGGAAACCGGAGCUAAUACCGGAUAACAUAUUGAACCGCAUGGUUCAAUAGUGAAAGGCGGCUUUGCUGUCACUUAUAGAUGGAUCCGCGCCGUAUUAGCUAGUUGGUAAGGUAACGGCUUACCAAGGCAACGAUACGUAGCCGACCUGAGAGGGUGAUCGGCCACACUGGAGCUGAGACACGGUCCAGACUCCUACGGGAGGCAGCAGUAGGGAAUCUUCCGCAAUGGGCGAAAGCCUGACGGAGCAACGCCGCGUGAGUGAUGAAGGUCUUCGGAUCGUAAAACUCUGUUAUCAGGGAAGAACAAAUGUGUAAGUAACUGUGCACAUCUUGACGGUACCGGAUCAGAAAGCCACGGCUAACUACGU
rnacentral:rRNA from 1 species